AACUCUAAGAUAAAUCCUUUAAAAUUAAUAUAAUUGGGCUGGGUGAGGUGGCUCACACCUAUAAUCCCAGCACUUUGGGAGGCCGAGGCAGAUGGAUCACCUGAGGUCGGGAGUUCAAGACCAACCUGGCCAACAUGGUGAAACCCUGCCUCUACCAAAAAAAAAUUAGCUGGGUGUGGUAGCAGGUGCCUGUAAUCUCAGCUGCUCAGGAGGCUGAGGAAAAUCGCUUGAACCUGGCAGGCGGAGGUUGCAGUGAGCCGACAUAGUGCCAUUGCACUCCAGCCUGGGAAACAAAAGUGAAACCCCAUCUUGAAAAAAAUAAUUAUCUUCAAAAUUAUGUUACUUCCUGGCUGUACUCAAUCAUUUUUUCAACUAACCUCCAUAGGGAAUUAUUGUGACAAAAAUUUUCUCGAGUUUUAGACUAUCACUGAAUUACUAGUGGUUUAACUGAGCUCCAUCAGCAAGUUAGAACUGCUGGAGUGACAGAGAACCAUUUCCAUUUUUCCAUUCACAUUAAAUUUCACAAAAUGGUUGUUACCAAGCAUCAUCAUUAGUUCCCAUGUUGCACGUGAGAGGUGCAAAAUAAAGGAAAAACAGAUAAAACCACUUGGUCAGACAAAAUGGCAAAUUCCCAUCAUAGUUCUCUUCCAGUAUCAUUCCUUGCAAUUUCUUACCAUAUCCCCAGUAAAAUUACAAAUUUUUUAUGUUUAGCAAAAAGUAAAGGUAACAGCAUCUAUGGCUCUGGAAGCAGUUGUAAUGAUUUUUUUAAAUGGUGACUAUUUUUCCUUUAGUUUUAGCUUUGGAAAGAAUAGCAAAAUUAGCACCUGAGGCAACAGUAACCAAACCAGGCAGGAUCUGGUUACCAUGACCUACCACCAACACAUCUUCAGUUAAAGUUCUCAAAGCUUGAUCUGACAUUACAAUCACCUGGGAACUUGUUAAUGCAAAUUAUUGGAUGUGAUGGCUGCGACAUCUGUCACCCCACUGAUUGCCAGGGUUGAUUCAGCUUAUCUGGCUGGCUAGGCAGCUGCCCCCUUCCUUCCUCACGACUCCAAGUGUACCCUUCCCGACGCUGCGUGGUGUGUCACAAAGGACAACCAUUCCCAAUAGAGGAGGACCAGUCUUCCAUCAAGGCUAUUUAUGUAGCUGCACUCCAGUGAGAACCUCCAAACAAGCUCUCAAAAAUGCAAACUGGUUGGGUGUGGUGGCUCAUGUCGGUAAUCCCAGCACUUUGGGAGGCUGAGGCAGGCAGAUCACUAAGUCAAGAGAUGGAGACCAUCCUGGUCAAGAUGGUGAAACCCUGACUCUACUAAAAAUACAAAAACUAUCUGGGCGCGGUGGCUUUUGGCGACACUAAACUUUAUCUCCGAUGGAAGGCAAUCAACAGACUUAUCCAGAGCUGCUUCUGUCCUAGUGCAAGUUGUAUUAAACAGCGUAUAUGCUGCUUUGCAGUGCUCCAGCAGACUUCUAUUACAUACCAUACUUUUGUCACAAUCUUUAGGCUGACAAAAGAAUCCAGUCAAUAAAGCUAAAGUAAAAAAUGAAGUACACUCUUGUCCCUGUAUAAUCUUAAUACCUGCCGCAACACUCAAUAGUUCACCAUUUCCUUUUCCAGUCCCCAUCACCUUAAAAAAAAGGUGUAACCUGUCUUAGGGAAUUCUAAUAAUGGCUAUUUCUAAAAGUUGCUCAGAAUGAAUGAUACCACUUAAAAUCACUGGAGGGGCUGGGUGCCGUGGCUCAUGCCUAUAAUCCCAGCACUUUGGCAGAACAGGCAGAUCACUUGAGGCCAGGAGUUUGAGACUAGCCUGGUCAACAUGAUGAAACCCCGUCUCUACCAAAAAAUAAAGAAUAAAAAAAUUAGCCAGACGUGGUGGCAUGUGCCUGUAGUCCAAGGUUGAGGCUGAGGCAGAAGUGAGCAGAGAUCACACCACUGCACACCAGCCUGAGCAAGCAAAGUUUUUUAAAAAAAGUCUCGAGGUAUUAAUGUGCACACAUGGUUGGAAAUUCAUAAUCCUAGGUAUACCAUUAUUUCAAAUAAUCUUAUUUUUAAGAUACUCAAGGCAAUACCAAAAGCUAUCCAAUUGAAGUCUUAUAAAGGACACGCUCAGACCCCAAAUUUACCAGCAAUGGCUCAAGUAUGAAGUAUUGUAAAACAAACUCAAGGUAUUUCUAAAAGUUUGAUUUGCUUUUGUAGGAUAAUGUAAGGUUAAGCGAAGGGCUGAAAUAUCUGUAGGAAAAAUGUUCUUAACAGCAAAUUUAAGUAGAGGUUUGUCUUUCUGAGGAGAAAUUCAUGGGAAAAAAAAGGUUUGUCAUAAUCUGAGAUAUGGCUGUUACCGAUUUAUCAUUAACAGCUUAUUUAUGAUUUCUGACUUUUAAAUGCUCUCAUAUGCAAACAAUAAAGUAAACAAAGCAUUCUUUCCUUCGACUUGCUAAAUCCAGCAAAGAACCUAUGAAAAAGCCAUCAAUGACAGGAAACACUGAAUUCCAUUGUGCACAUAAUGCUUUCUGUAGCUACUGUUAGUUAAAAUUGGAAUUAAACAGAAGUGGGUAAAAUUAGUAAAGGCUAAAAUUAAAUUGCAGAAGUAAACUGGCAAGGAUUUUUUGUGCAUGUCACAUUAAAAUCAUCACCUGCCUUUAAGUGGGAGAGACCGAGAGAUUUAUCCAACUAUUUGAAAUAUAAUACAUUUGGGUCUGAAUAUUUGAAAGACAGACCAUGCCUAUCCGUUCUUGUCAAUUUUUCAAAAUUAAAACUUUGGUUUUUUGGCCAGGCACAGUGGCUCAGGCUUACAGUUCCAGAACUUUGGGAGGCUGAGGUGAGCAGAUCACUAGGGCAACAUGACAAAGCCCCGUCUAUACAAAAAAGCAAAAAUAGCCAGGCAAAAAUGGCCUGAGCCUGUAGUCCCAGCUACUCGGGAGGCUGAGGUAGAAAAUCACUAGAGCCUGAGACGCUGAGGCUGAGGCUGCAGUGAGUAGACUGUGCCACUGCACUCCAGUCUGGGUGACAGAGCAAGACCCUGUGUCAAGGAAGAAAAAACAAAUUGUUUACAAUAUAUAAUCCAAUAUACCAAGAAUCCCCAUAUAAUUAUUUUGAAAGGCUGGCACAACUAACUCUUGUUCAUCCAUAUUAUUUCCAAUUGUACUGUUUAGGCACCAACAUGUCUAAGCACAAGCUUUUGCUACUUGUUCACCUGUAGCAUUUCUAAUUCAUAAGGUUUUUUAAAACUACAAAUGGCCUCACUUUUAAUUAUGUAACAGGAACAAGAAAUCCACCAGCACCAAAAUUUUUAAAACUUAGAUCUUUAGCGGCAGUCUUUAGAAUACUCACUAUAGAUUUAAAAGUAAUCAAUUGUUAAAGCAUGCACAAAGUUUAAGAAUGAAUAAAAACCACAACUGACAAAUAUGUUGGUUAACAUUCCAAACAUGUAUAACCAAUGAACAUGGCCUAAGUUUUUUUUUAUUGGUAUUCACUUCAGUAACUUGAACCCACAGAUAUAAGCAGUAUAUAACCAGAAAGUUACAAGUAAACACAAAUUAUACAUGCAAAUUUCUGUUCACAAAGGUCACAUGUGCAGGUACAUGAAUUAGAAGCGUGCAUCUAGGAUUAUGGCCAAACUUUUUAAAAUGCAGAACUGUAAAAUUACAUCUUGAAAAUAUGAAGAGAUCGUCUACACACUUCAAAAAUUAAAUGUUGCUUAUACCAGAGAUGUAUGACAAUUAUGGGAUUCAAGUGACAAGCAAUAAGAUCUCAAAAAUUAAUACUGGUCAAAGAGAACGGGAAUAUUUUUACAUUUCACUGAAAAUACAUUGACUACUAGAAUACAAAAUCUAGCAGGAACUCAGGGAAAAAAAUUACAAAAUCUAAAGCCAAUUACUUAAUAUUUCUUAUUACCUAAACAACAGCAUGACAUCAACAGAAAACUGCACCUGCAUCUGAAUUGCCAAUCUCACAUUGAUGAAGUUCUCCAAAAA